rnacentral:rRNA from 1 species
UACGUAGGGCGCAAGCGUUAUCCGGAAUUAUUGGGCGUAAAGAGCUCGUAGGCGGUUUGUCGCGUCUGCUGUGAAAGACCGGGGCUCAACUCCGGUUCUGCAGUGGGUACGGGCAGACUGGAGUGAUGUAGGGGAGACUGGAAUUCCUGGUGUAGCGGUGAAAUGCGCAGAUAUCAGGAGGAACACCGAUGGCGAAGGCAGGUCUCUGGGCAUUAACUGACGCUGAGGAGCGAAAGCAUGGGGAGCGAACAGG